AACGAACGCUGGCGGCAUGCCUAACACAUGCAAGUCGAACGAAGGCUUCGGCCUUAGUGGCGCACGGGUGCGUAACGCGUGGGAAUCUGCCCCUCGGUUCGGAAUAACAGUUAGAAAUGACUGCUAAUACCGGAUGAUGACUUCGGUCCAAAGAUUUAUCGCCGAGGGAUGAGCCCGCGUAAGAUUAGGUAGUUGGUGGGGUAAAGGCCUACCAAGCCGACGAUCUUUAGCUGGUCUGAGAGGAUGAUCAGCCACACUGGGACUGAGACACGGCCCAGACCCCUACGGGAGGCAGCAGUGGGGAAUAUUGGACAAUGGGCGAAAGCCUGAUCCAGCAAUGCCGCGUGAGUGAUGAAGGCCUUAGGGUUGUAAAGCUCUUUUACCAGGGAUGAUAAUGACAGUACCUGGAGAAUAAGCUCCGGCUAACUCCGUGCCAGCCGCCGCUGUAA
rnacentral:rRNA from 1 species